rnacentral:misc_RNA from 1 species
UGAAUGAAUCCAGUCUGUGUUCAUAGCUUUCGUAAUCUGGGUGCUUGUGGUGUAUAUUGCGAGGCAUUGUCCACUUUGUUCCCUUUUCUUUUGUCGGUGUACGAUUAUAUGAUUAAGUGCUAUUUUUAGAAGGAAAAAAACCAGUUUAUUAUACAGAUCUCAUCUGGUACAGAUUAGAAGGGAAAAUGUAACAGAUAUCCACUGUUUAUAUGGCAACAUAGUUCAGUUGGGUAAAAUGCAGACAACAACUGAAUAUAAGCGAAUCGUUUUAUGGGUUCGAAUCCUCAUGAGUUUUUUUUUUGAUGGGCUGGAAAUGUCUAACCCUGAAGAAGACCUAUUGCAACGCACGAACUCAGCAGAACAGACAAGCGUUGAUAAUGAAGCCAACUCAAAAUGUUUUAAGCGUAAAUGUAUAAAAUGGAUUAAGAAGCAUCCAUAUGUAUGUGCCGGUAUCUGUCUGGGGUUAGUCGUUGGGACAAGUCUAUUGAUUUGGCUCGGUAUAUCCCUUUCUGGACACAAGAUUGAGACCAAUUCAGAUAUUGAACAUACAAAUACGUCCAGACUAAAAGGAAACGGUAGUUGUGAAGGUUUUGGCGAAAACAAUGGAACAAAUGAUUUAUUUAUCAAUCGAAAUGUAAGCUGCAAAAACAACUGCGUCCUGCUUGAAGAAAAUAUAACUGAAGAAUAUAUUCCUCAUGAAUCGCGUUCAUGUGACAAAUCCAAUGGAAAUAUAAAGAACUCAACUUGUUACCUUUGUAACAAUACGUGCAUACCAAAAGAUGAUUUAAUUAACAUGAAGAGGAUCAAAUGCAUAGACAGUCACCCAGUAGAAAUUGACUGCUGCUUAGUUGUACAAAUGGACAACUUUAACCGAAAGACUGAAGAAAAGUACAGAUGUUACAGUGCAUCUGUACACGAGCAGUACAAUAAGUUGGCUGUACAACCCUUAUUGCACUGUCCAUUUGGUAAGAAAGGAGAGCGGUGCCAGCAACAUAAUACAAAGCCAUUCAUUUGCAAGUGUUUCAAGUACAACCAUAAGUUUCAAGACCAGGAAGAGCUGACUGAGUGUAACAAAAAACCAAAAAAAAGAACAAAAAGCAUCGCGGAAUGCUUUAUGUUGAAGACUAUAGAUUGCGUUCAACACAACUGCUUAUGCAGCAGAACAAUGGGUAUAAUAUUAUAUUGAAACUUCUAGUGGCAGAUGAAAGCAACAAGAACAGUUUUGAAAAGCGGAACAAAAGUAUAGCAGAAUAGUUGCCGAAGCCAUCGUGUGAUCUAUUCAUUGAUUAUGUUUUCCAUGUGUAGGGAAUGACUGACAACAUUGAUCUGAUUAACUUGUUUUAGAUUUCCAUACUAGAUCUAUUUACUUUUACAAAGGCGCAUGUUUUCUAAUCGGAUGUACUUUGUCAUGUAAGAAAGCUCUGUUGGCAGAUCUGUUCAUCAAAAUAGAAUUUACACAAUGGAUAAAUCUCAAGUACAUAUCGGUCAAGAUUUAUUCGUUCUGAUAUGGCAAGAUUAUAUUUAAGGAAUAUGCAAAAUCAGACCAUCUCAAAACAUGGCAAAAAGUGACUAUUCGCGUAUAAAAUGCAUGAAUGUAUGUUGCUUUACUUGGUAUGAGAGACUGGUUUAAAUCGUAAUUUAUUCCACGCAGGUCCUAAAGACACCUGCCUGACAUUAGACAAAAUUGGGCCAAAAUAUAUGUAUACGUGUAAUAGCAUAAUGCUAUUUUUAGUUGUGUGUACUUUCUAAUCCCCCGCCACGAGUGGUGGGGGGUUAAAGGAAUGGUCUCCGCCCGUCCUUCCGUCCGUUCAUCCUCCCGUUUUUCCAUCUUCCGUCCUUCCGUAACAUUUUGUGUCCGCUCUGUAUCUCCUAAACCCCUUGAAAGAUUUUCAUUGAACUUGGUUCAGAUGAUUACCUCAUCAGGAUAAUGUGCAGAAUCCAUGAGUCAGCAAUGUCGGUUCAAGGUCAAGGUCACAACUCAAGGUCAAAGGUUUGAGCCUUCCAUGUCGUGUCCACUCUAUAUCUCCUAAACCGCUUAAAGGAUAAUCGUGAAA